rnacentral:rRNA from 1 species
GAUGAACGCCGGCGGCGUGCCUAACACAUGCAAGUCGAACGGAGUUUACUCGCUGAAGCGGUUUCGGCCAAUUCUUGAGUAAWCUUAGUGGCGGACGGGUGAGUAACGCGUGGGCAACCUGCCUCAUACUGGGGGAUAGCAGUUGGAAACGACUGAUAAUACCGCAUAAGCGCACAGAGUCGCAUGACUCAGUGUGAAAAACUCCGGUGGUAUGAGAUGGGCCCGCGUCAGAUUAGCUAGUUGGUAAGGUAACGGCUUACCAAGGCGACGAUCUGUAGCCGGACUGAGAGGUCGGACGGCCACAUUGGGACUGAGACACGGCCCAAACUCCUACGGGAGGCAGCAGUGGGGGAUAUUGCACAAUGGAGGAAACUCUGAUGCAGCGACGCCGCGUGAGUGAAGAAGUAUUUCGGUAUGUAAAGCUCUAUCAGCAGGGAAGAAAGGCUCGCAAGAGAGA